rnacentral:other from 1 species
UAACCCCUGCUGUGUGCGUGGGAUGCCGAUGUUUUGAGCCAACACAGUUACUGCGGGAGCCCGGACUCUGAUUGUGGCGUGUAUGCCCCUGAACGCCUGGGGACACAUAAAGCAGUCAGGAGGGCACCCACCUGCCGAGGCAGGUUCAAAACAGGGGCGAUACGGCACGGUGGGGAUUAU